rfam:Erwinia mallotivora strain BT-MARDI contig_45, whole genome shotgun sequence.
CUGGGUUGCUGAAUUAGAGAUCGGCACCUGUACAUUUAUCUUAAAAUUUGGAGUUGAAUAAUGUCUCUAAGUGUUAAAACUAAGGCACAAAUCAUUGCGGAUUUUGGCCGUGACGCA